rnacentral:rRNA from 1 species
CCUACGGGGGCAGCAGUGGGGAAUAUUGGACAAUGGGCGAAAGCCUGAUCCAGCAAUGCCGCGUGAGUGAAGAAGGCCUUCGGGUUGUAAAGCUCUUUUACCCGGGAAGAUAAUGACUGUACCGGGAGAAUAAGCCCCGGCUAACUCCGUGCCAGCAGCCGCGGUAAUACGGAGGGGGCUAGCGUUGUUCGGAAUUACUGGGCGUAAAGCGUACGUAGGCGGCUUUGUAAGUCAGAGGUGAAAGCCCACGACUCAAUCGUGGAACUGCCUUUGAGACUGCUUCGCUUGAAGAUGGGAGAGGUUAGUGGAAUUCCGAGUGUAGAGGUGAAAUUCGUAGAUAUUCGGAAGAACACCAGUGGCGAAGGCGGCUAACUGGACCAUUCUUGACGCUGAGGUACGAAAGCGUGGGGAGCAAACAGGAUUAGAUACCCUGGUAGUCCACGCCGUAAACGAUGAUAACUAGCUGUCGGGGCUCUUGGAGCUUCGGUGGCGCAGCUAACGCAUUAAGUUAUCCGCCUGGGGAGUACGGCCGCAGGUUAAAACUCAAGGAAUUGACGG